CCCUGCUCGGAGCAGUGGCCUCGAAGCUCCGCCCCCACCCGAGGCCACGCCCUUCCACUCCGGUUCUUGAAUACCCGCCGCCUGCCAUGAGUAAGCAGGUUGCCACACCACUCUGCUCUCUAACUGGGAAAACCGCACACCCAGCAAUGUAUGACAGCAUCCGGUGACCGGAUAUAGAACAUACUAGGCGACCCCUGACAGCCGCCCUCUGACAAUCCAUGGAUCCAAGACUCCUGCAGCUCCCCCUCGGGAAGCAACCAGGAAUACAUCAAAGGCCAUAGACCGGAUUUCCAAGGGUCUGCCGAAGCCUUACAACAGACUACAGAGUUGGAAGUGCUGGAAGACGGAGUGUUACCCCUAAACCCAUGCCCCCGACCCCACCAAGACUAAUCAAUCCCCAAGCUGGGAGUCCUACCAUCCGGGUCCUCCCUCCCACAACUCUGUCUUACCGACCCUAUAAAUCGUAAUAAAUAUCUGUGUUACAGCAAGGAGGCAUAUCUCGCACCCCUGCAUAAGUUAUAAUAAAUAUUACAUACACCCCUCCUUCACCUAGGAGGAUAUACAUAAA